rnacentral:rRNA from 1 species
AACGGAAAGGCUCCAGCUUGCUGGAGUACUCGAGUGGCGAACGGGUGAGUAACACGUGGGUAAUCUGCCCUGCACUCUGGGAUAAGCCUGGGAAACUGGGUCUAAUACUGGAUAUGACCUUUCUCCUUAUGGGGUUUAGUGGAAAGUUUUUCGGUGUAGGAUGAGCCCGCGGCCUAUCAGCUUGUUGGUGGGGUGAUGGCCUACCAAGGCGACGACGGGUAGCCGGCCUGAGAGGGUGAUCGGCCACAUUGGGACUGAGAUACGGCCCAGACUCCUACGGGAGGCAGCAGUGGGGAAUAUUGCACAAUGGGCGGAAGCCUGAUGCAGCGACGCCGCGUGAGGGAUGACGGCCUUCGGGUUGUAAACCUCUUUCAGCAGGGACGAAGCGUAAGUGACGGUACCUGCAGAAGAAGCACCGGCUAACUACGUGCCAGCAGCCGCGGUAAUACGUAGGGUGCGAGCGUUGUCCGGAAUUACUGGGCGUAAAGAGCUCGUAGGCGGUUUGUCACGUCGUCUGUGAAAUCCUAGGGCUUAACCCUGGACGUGCAGGCGAUACGGGCUGACUUGAGUACUACAGGGGAGACUGGAAUUUCUGGUGUAGCGGUGGAAUGCACAGAUAUCAGGAAGAACACCGAUGGCGAAGGCAGGUCUCUGGGUAGUAACUGACGCUGAGGAGCGAAAGCAUGGGUAGCGAACAGGAUUAGAUACCCUGGU